rnacentral:rRNA from 1 species
CCUACGGGAGGCAGCAGUGGGGAAUAUUGGACAAUGGGCGAAAGCCUGAUCCAGCAAUGCCGCGUGAGUGAUGAAGGCCUUCGGGUCGUAAAGCUCUUUUACCAGGGAUGAUAAUGACAGUACCUGGAGAAUAAGCUCCGGCUAACUCCGUGCCAGCAGCCGCGGUAAUACGGAGGGAGCUAGCGUUGUUCGGAAUUACUGGGCGUAAAGAGUACGUAGGCGGUUAUUCAAGUCAGAGGUGAAAGCCCGGGGCUCAACCCCGGAACUGCCUUUGAAACUAGAUAGCCAGAGUCUUGGAGAGGUUAGUGGAAUUCCGAGUGUAGAGGUGAAAUUCGUAGAUAUUCGGAAGAACACCAGUGGCGAAGGCGACUAACUGGACAAGUACUGACGCUGAGGUACGAAAGCGUGGGGAGCAAACAGGAUUAGAUACCCUGGUAGUCCACGCCGUAAACGAUGAUAACUAGUUGUUCGGUCACUUGGUGACUGAGUGACGCANCUACGACAUUAAUUAUCGUCCGUCGGAGGUACGGUCGCGAGAGUAAACGUUAAAGUAAGUAGUAGCGNGUGUAGAGUUCGACGACGACGACGACGGAGGAGGAG